rnacentral:rRNA from 1 species
AAAGACUGACGCUCAUGCACGAAAGCGUGGGGAUCAAACAGGAUUAGAUACCCUGGUAGUCCACGCUGUAAACGAUGAUCACUCGUUGUUGGCGAUAUACUGUCAGCGACUGAGCGAAAGCAUUAAGUGAUCCACCUGGGGAGUACGGCGGCAACGUUGAAACUCAAAGGAAUUGACGGGGGCCCGCACAAGCGGAGGAGCAUGUGGUUUAAUUCGAUGAUACGCGAGGAACCUUACCUGGGCUUAAAUGCAGGACGACGUUUCGUGAAAGCGGAAUUUCCUUCGGGACGUCUUGCAAGGUGCUGCAUGGUUGUCGUCAGCUCGUGCCGUGAGGUGUCGGGUUAAGUCCCAUAACGAGCGCAACCCUUAUCAUUAGUUGCCAUCAGGUCAAGCUGGGAACUCUAAUGAAACUGCCUACGCAAGUAGUGAGGAAGGUGGGGAUGACGUCAAAUCAGCACGGCCCUUAUGUCCAGGGCGACACACGUGCUACAAUGGCCAGUACAGAGGGUUGCGAA